GGCCCCCUCCUCAUGGGUCAGCUCAGCCCCUCGGGACUCACCAGCCCCCUCCUCACAGGUCAGCUCGGCCCAUCGAGCCUUCAGCCAGCGAGACCCACUGUUCUGAGAAGGCAGCCGCAGAAGGAGGGGUUGUCCUUCCGUGACCCAAGGGCCUCUGCACUUCAGGAACAUCCAUCUGAGUGUCUGCCACAGGAACUACUGUGUCACAAAACCAUCCAAAAUAUUGGGGAGCCCAGGCCAGCUGGGAAACACAAGUAGCCUUAAUUCAAGAAAGAGUACCCCGUGCAGUGGAACAAUCAAGGACUUCAAAACUCCAUUUCAAUUUCAAGCUCACUCUCCUAUCCAGUCAAUCCUAAGGGAAUAUCAGUCCUGAAUAUUCAUUGGAAAGACUGAUGCUGAAGCUGAAACUCCAGUACUUUGGCCACCUGAUGCGAAGAACUGACUCCUUGGAAAAGACCCUGAUGCUGGGAAAGAUUGAAGGCAGGAGGAGAAGGGGAUGACAGAGGAUAAGAUGGUUGGAUGGCAUCACCGACUUGAUGGACAUGAGUUUGAGCAAGCUCUGGGAGUUGGUGAUGGACAGGGAGGCCUGGUGUGCUGCAGUCCGUGGGGUCGCAAAGAGUCAGACACAACUGAGCGAUUGAAUUGAACUGAACUGGACUCCCAUCCAGGGUUGCUGCUGGCUGGGAGACUGGUUUUGGGAAGGAGGUGUGGUGGGGGUCUCCUCUGUUCCCCAUCUCAAGUUUCUUCUCCUCCCACUCGGAGCUGCCUCUGGCUCCUUCAGGGUUCACAUUGGUGGGGUAAGGGCUGGGGGAGAGGUUCCCAGUGGCUCUCAAGGCUAGAGGCGGUGGAAGGCUAAACACCCUGAAGUGGACACUCUCCUCUGCAGGGCUUGCCUUCCCAGAACUAGUCCCAGAGCUGAUGGACAGAUGGUGGAAACAGACCCCUGCCUGGGUUGCAGAGAACUGCAUGCUGGGUAGACUGAACAUAGUGUGUCUGCCCGGCACUGUGGAGACUGUUUUUCAUUGGGAAGGAAAAAUCUUGUCAGAGGAGGGGAGGGUAUGCACUGUCUUCCCCCUCCCUUAGGUGACCUGGCAUCUCACUUGGGAAUGGGGAUGAAUACUUGGCAUGUCUUGCCUCAAAGCCUCACUGUCCAGUAUGGCAGCCACUGGUCACGUGUGGCUACCAGGCACAUGAGACGUGCCCUAAGCAUGAAACACGUACUGGCUCUCCACGACUCAGUAUGAAAAAGAAUGCAAAA
rnacentral:lncRNA from 1 species